UAGUGUCGAUACACAUAAAAAUAUAUCUACGUUUCAGACUAAUCUGACCACGCCUUCCCUAGCCGCCCAUAUGAGAUUGGUUUCCUCUUAUUGAUACUUGUACGUCAAAUUCUUUCAGCUCAUCAUAGAUCCAACUCGAAACGGCAGAUGCACUACGAUUGUUUUGCAUGUAGAUCUCAAGCAACUGCUCAUAAGUGAACUCAACUACAGCUACAAUAUUAGGGAUUUUACACAACGGAGCAAAAAGGAGCAAAAGAGCUUUUAUGGAUUAGUUUAUAUACACCUUCCACUAUAAUAACACAAAAUUACUUUUGGCACAACUUGGCACAAAAUUACAGACGGACUAGCAGAUUUUGUAAUUAUAAAACCAGUAGAAGAACCAUUAUCCAAUAGCGAAAACUAUGUUGAAGAAAUACCUUCUGAUGAUGCUAUUGGUCCCCCAAAACGCCCACGUGCAAAGAUAUUUGAAGACAGUGAAACAGAUUAUUUACCAAAUGCAGUUUGAAGAAUAACAAUAAAGUUUUUAAUAAACCUUUAA